CACGUAGGGCGCAAGCGUUGUCCGGAAUUAUUGGGCGUAAAGAGCUCGUAGGCGGUGUGUCGCGUCGGCCGUGAAAACCUGCAGCUUAACUGUGGGCUUGCGGUCGAUACGGGCAUCGCUGGAGUUCGGCAGGGGAGACUGGAAUUCCUGGUGUAGCGGUGAAAUGCGCAGAUAUCAGGAAGAACACCCGUGGCGAAGGCGGCUCUCUGGGACGGUACUGACGCUGAGACGCGAAAGCGUGGGGAGCGAACAGG
rnacentral:rRNA from 1 species